rnacentral:lncRNA from 1 species
CGAAAGUCGUUACAUAUAAUCAGAUGGGAUAGUGCGGUGCUGGGGGCAGACCAGAGGCUCUCAGAGCUGCUAAACCCAAUCUGGGGAGGUCAGGGAAGGCUGCCCGGAGGGAGUGACAUUGGGUUGAGAGCUAACGGACAUAUAGAAGUUAGCAAGGCCAGUAGGGCCUGGAAUGUCCCAGGCAGAGGGAACACCACGUGCAAAGUCCCUGAAGUGACAGCCACCGGUGGGGAGCUGAGAGACGCCAGAGCAAGGAGAGGCUGGGGUGAGAUGGGGUCAGAGAGAUGGUCAAGCCUUGCAGUUAAGACCUUGGGUUAAGAAUUUUGGAUUUUUUCCUGGAGGUCAUAGGGAGCCUCUGAAGGCUAGUGGCCUGAUUUGCGUUUGAAGAAUUUACCCUCUGGAGAAAACGGAUCAGAGGGCCAGGCAUGAAGAACAGAGAGACUGGUUAGGAGGCUAUUCAGUCAUCCAGGUCCAGAACAGCGCGAGGUCCCUUUUGAGUAAGUGUUCAGCGAAGACUUGGGAACCAAAGCACACUGAUUAAGGACCUACUUCAAGGUCAGAUGUGGGUUUGAAAUUUCAUUCUAGCACUUACUACCUGUGUGACCUUGGGCAAGUUAAAUAUCCUUUCUGAACCUGUUUUUUUCACAGAAAAACACAGAUAAUCAUAACACCUACAUUAACAAGGAUUCAUCAGAAGUUUCAAUGUGGGAACACGUGUAAAGGGUCUAGCAUGGAACCUGGCCGACUGUAGGCAUUCAAUAAAUGUUAGCCUGAGGUUGAAGGAGAAAGAGCAGACCUUAUCAGAUAAUCUUAGAAUAGGGGCCUUUCUUUUUUCUUAAAAAAAAAAAUCAUCUUUAAACAUUCUCCAAUGCAUGUGAAAUAAUUUUUAAAUAGUGUCAUGGGCUAAUAGUGAAUUAAGUUAUGGUAGACCCAUAUUAUGGAAUACUGUAUCACAAUGAAAUAAUAAAUUGUAUCUAUUAUGUACACACAUGGACAGAUGACCAUGAUUGUUACAGGGUAAGAAAAAAAAGCAAACAUCAGAAUAUGAAUAGUUCCCCUCUCUCCUUCUAAAAAAUUAUAUGGCCGGGCGCAGUGGUUCAUGCCUGUAAUCCCAGCAAUUUGGGAGGCUGAGACAGGUGGAUCACCUGAGUCAGGAGUUCAAGACCAGCCUGGCCAACAUGGUGAAACCCCAUCUCUACUAAAAAAAAAUAAAAAAUUAGCUGGGUGUGGUGGCGGGCGCCUGUAAUCCCAGCUACUCAGGAGGCUGAAGCAGGGAAAACUGCUUGAACCAGGGAGGCAGAGGUUGCAGUGAGCCGAGAUUGCGCCAAUGCACUCCAGCGUGGGCGACAGAGCAAGACUCCAUUGCAAAAAAAAAAAAAAAAAAAUUAUAUAUGGCCAGGCAGAGUGGCUCACACUUGUAAUCCCAGCGCUUUGGGAGGCUGAGGCAGAAGGACCGCUUGAGGCCAGGUGUUUGAGACCAGCCUAGGAAACAAAGCAAAAAAAAAAAAGCCAGGUGUGGUGGUGCAUAGCUGCAGUCCCAGCUACUCAGGAGGCUGAGGUGGGAGAAUUGCAUGAGCCAAAGAGUUCAAGGCUGCAGUGAGCUAUGAUUGUGCCACUGCAUGAUGGGCGACAGAGUGAGACACUGUCUCAAAGGCAAAACAAAAUGAAACGAACACACACACACACACACACAUAUAUGCACAGAGAAAGGAGGUCUGGAAAGAUAUAUACCUAAUUUUAAAGGAGUAGGGCCUGGUGAGAUUUUUUUUUUAACUUUCUGCAUUCCAACUUAUUUUGUAAUUUCCAACACACACACACACACACACACACACACACACACACACACACACACACACACACCAGACAGGAAAAAAAUUCUCAAAUUCUCUCUGGCCUGAAUAUUUCAUAGGACUUUGAAAGUCAUUAAACUGAAUAGAAGAGGUGGUUAAUUCUUCUGGCAAGUGUGAGAAUUUCCAUACCCAGUGUUUCUUUUUGAGAGAGGCUGUAGGAGAGAAGAGAUGGAGAAUGAAUUGCUCCAGCAUUACUCAUUCUCAGCACAUCCAAACAGGUAGUCUCAUUCUUGUCCCUGUCACCACUACAGCCCUGACACAGAGUCACAGAGAAACUCUUUGAUAAAUGUCAACUGAAAUUGAGUAAUCAUCUGAAAGCCAUUUGCUGAGCUGUCUGACUGCCCUGGGCUCGAGGUUUUCCUUUAUUCAUUUAUCAUGAUACAGCUUUGGCCAACAUACACACAGGAGAGAAAUUGUUGACAUGUGGAACCCAAGUACAGAAAAUCUUUCAUUUUCCUCCCUGUCUGUUCACCAAAUAAGUUUUUGUUUAUUUAAAGACUACAGAGGAUUUGGCUGUUAAGAACCAAAUGCCUUUGGAGUGGAAUUACAACAUAAUUUAUCAUUUCCUCUGUUUAUUAAAAAAUCCUGCAUCUUUGAGAAGCACAUUUGCAGUGAGUGGGGGAUUUCGGCCACUCAUGAAAGACUGUUGCAAAGCCCCUGUCAUGUGGCUUACCCCAAAAGAGGCUCCUUAAUUGCUCUAUCUAUCCCUGCUCUUCCCCCAGCUGACUUCUGAUCAUGUGAUGACCACUUAGGGCUGGUGGAUGGGGUUAGAGGACAGGUAAGUGGGGCAGGAGACUGUGUUAGUUUAACUUUGACCCAAUUUUGACCUUGAAUCCUCACUGCAUGUUUCACCAGUGUAAGUAAAGAGGGAAGUGCAACCCUUAUUACCUCCAGCACAGGAGAGAAUCUGGAGGAAGUCAAAGAGCAAAGAGAAGUUGGAUGUUGCUUUGAAAGAACUCAGCCAGGCCUUGCCACCACCAAAGUGGGCUCCAUUCUGAAAGCAGACACCUUGCAGAACUGGAAUGAACUUCCUACUUUUCCACCCAAUAGAUUAUUAUAGACAGCAAUUUAGUUCAGUGCACUAUGUACCCCCCCAAAACAGGGGUCAUAUCUUUCCCAUUUUUGUAUUGCCAGUACAUAGUUCAGCACCUGACAAACAAUUGGUGCUCACUAAAUGCUAAUGAAGGCAGCAGGACACAGUGGUUCCUUCCAGAUUGGUGAGGUGCUGAGAGAGUGUGAGCCCAGAGAAGGCAUGGAAGCUCCACACCCUCUCCCUCUCCCUCAACCUUGCCCUGUGUACCUCCUUCAUUGGGCUGUUCAGCUGUAUCUUUUAUAAUAAACCAGUGAACGUGUUUCCCUGAGUUGUGUGAGCUGUCCUAGGAAAUUAACUGAACCAAAGGAAAUCAAGGACUCUAGUUUGUAGUUGGUCAGUCAGGAGUAUGGGUGGCCCAGACUCAUGACUGGCAUCAAAAGUGUUGGCAGUCUUGGGAGAUGGAGCCCUCAACCUGUGGGAUCUGACACUAUUUCCAGGUAAUGUCAGAAAUGAAUUGAAUUAUAGGAUACCCAGUUGGUGUCUGCUGGAGAAUUGCUUGGUGUGUGGGGGAAACAAACUCACACACCUUGUCACAGAAGUGUUCCAUGUUGAGUGUGAAAGUACAAAAGGAAAAAAAGUUUGUUUUUUUCCUUUUACAUUAGCACAUCAGGCCUCAAUUUGAAUGCCAGCUCUGCUACUUGCUAGGUGUGUAACCCUGCACAAGAAACUUCACCUCUAUGUAAAUGACGCUGACAAUGAAUCAUGAAAACCUUCUACCACUGAUCAGCUUUGCUUUGUUACUUUGGGCAAAUUACCUAAUACUGUCAAGACUUAGUUUUCCUAUUUGUAAAUGAAGAUAAUACACAUCUCUUAAGUUUACUGUCAAGAUUAUAAAUAAUGCCUAGAACUAUACCUAACUCAUAAUGGCUAUAUUAGGAAUGAAUGAAUGAAUAAAAAAUAAUUGGAGGGAAAAAAACCUAAUAACCCAGUAUCCGAAGAUAAGCCACAAUAAACUACUUGUCUGUCAACAAUGGGCAGGCCCUGCAGGAAAGGUAUGUCACUACCAAGUAAAUGUUGAGAACAAGUACAAGAGUGGAAAAUGAUAGAAAGGGAGUGUUAAGACUAGAAAGAAAAGAAGUCAGCAUUUGCUGGGUAGCUACUAUGUGCAAUUUAUUCACGAUACAACAUAUGACUGCCUACUAUGCUCCAGGCAUUACACAAAGUUCUGAGGAUAUACAGGC